GUGGGGAUUUGUUGCAUUACUU
rnacentral:miRNA from 2 species